GGAGCUAACGGGUUAAGUCGACCGCCUGGGGAGUACGGCCGCAAGGUUAAAACUCAAAUGAAUUGACGGGGGCCCGCACAAGCGGUGGAGCAUGUGGUUUAAUUCGAUGCAACGCGAAGAACCUUACCUGGUCUUGACAUCCACGGAAUUUGGCAGAGAUGCCUUAGUGCCUUCGGGAACCGUGAGACAGGUGCUGCAUGGCUGUCGUCAGCUCGUGUUGUGAAAUGUUGGGUUAAGUCCCGCAACGAGCGCAACCCUUAUCCUUUGUUGCCAGCGGUCCGGCCGGGAACUCAAAGGAGACUGCCAGUGAUAAACUGGAGGAAGGUGGGGAUGACGUCAAGUCAUCAUGGCCCUUACGACCAGGGCUACACACGUGCUACAAUGGCAUAUACAAAGAGAAGCGAUCUCGCGAGAGCAAGCGGACCUCAUAAAGUAUGUCGUAGUCCGGAUUGGAGUCUGCAACUCGACUCCAUGAAGUCGGAAUCGCUAGUAAUCGUGGAUCAGAAUGCCACGGUGAAUACGUUCCCGG
rnacentral:rRNA from 1 species